GGCUAAUCCUGUAAGCCUCAAAUCUCCACCUUAUCUCUCAAUCUCAUGUCUAAAGUCCGAACACUCACUAGCCAACAAGCCUUCAACCUUUGGCUCUCUUCUCAAUCUUCACGCCAUUUUGCUUUCACUUGUUGUGUAAGUAUCAUUUGCAUCUUCUAUCUUAUUGAGGAGGCUAAAAUCUAUCCAUCUUUGAAAUAUUUGAAACUUCGGCUCUGUUUGGAAGCCAGGAAAACAUUUUCCCGAAAAUUUUUUCUUGGUUUUACAGUGUUUGGAUAAAAUAUUUUCCAAAACAAGGCUAAAAUCUCAUUCAUUUUAGGGAAAAUGUCUUACGAAAUUUUUUUCUGUAAGACAUUUUCCAACUCUCACCGGGUUACUUUCUCCUUCUUUCUUCCGUUCUUCAUCCCUUCUCCUUCUUCAUCAGGUAACUUUCCUCCUUCUACUUCUUCCUUUCUUCAUCUUUUAUAAUCUCUUCCGUUUUUCCUAAGCUGUGUCCGUCGCAUAUCUUCUCUUGGCUUAAGGUAUGGCAUCUUCUUUAUCUUCUUUAUCAUUUUCGUUUCUUCUUGUUCUUGAAAAACUGCUUAAGGUAUGCCAUCAUUUUGGUUCUGUAUUUUUAUGCUGUCGAAUACCCAUUUGUUUUUUGUGCUGAAUUAGUGGUGGGUUUUACCAAAUAUGCUUUUAAUUAAACUUAUAAAACAUCAAAUAUGCUUACCCCUAACCGUCAGUCAUAAUCUGCAGUCAUACUCAUAUUUGAUGAUGCAGUACAAUUGUUAGAUGCGGAAUGUUUGUGUUGUAUUAUCAAGUUUCAGUUUGCAGUAAAGGUUAAUUUUGGUAUCACCUCUUUUGUGCAUGACUUUGGUAUUCCCUCUUUGGGCAGAAUUAAAUAUAUAUGCUGCCUAGGGGCUCUGCAUGUUCACAAAUUUGAAACCUUGCUGAAAUAUUUUAUUUACAUCUCAAUCACUUUUUCCAACUUCAUAAUCUUGUGUGAUUUGCUCUGCUCAUGAUGCCCUUUCAUUAACCUAGUUAAAAAUGGAAGUUGGAGAGUUUUGCUUGCAGAUACACGAACAAUAGCUCAGACUCUUCGAGUUGACGUGUUGCAUAGUUUUAUAUUAUCGUUGGUAUAUUAUGACAUGUGGUUCAUUUCUCCAGAGCAAUGUGAGAGGGAUAAAGCUCGAGUCCUUGUUCACUGCAUGUCAGGAAAAAAUAGGAUUUUGCAUAUAAACUACGAUGGAAGAACCUAGUUGGACCUCACCCCUGAAUCUUUCUCUAUAAGAUGCCUUACACCCAGGUCACCAGCUAUUGUAGUAGCUUUCUUGAUGAAAUCUAAAGGAUGGAGGCUUCCACAAAGCUACCAGUGGGUGAAAGAACGGAGACCAUCUGUUGAUAUAAGUCAAGUCUGGAUUGAGAUCAAAUACAACAUAGUCAGGUCGGACAUCAACUGCAAGCUCUUCAGUGAAGUUGAAAUCACCAAAUAGGAAACCCAAACUGGUGGAGAUCCUGUAAGCACACAAGAAUCAGUUGCAAAUUAGAAGCAAGCGAAGAGCUUCGGUAUUUUGUUAGUUUGAUAUUGGAUAUUUGAUUUGGUUGGUAUUAGUACAGAGUUUGUGCUGGUAUAGCCACUGUUUUGUUAGUUUGAUAUUGGAUAUUGGAUAUUUUGGUGUUGGUUGAUAUUGCUAUAGGCACUUUGUUAUUGUUGGGUUCUUUUUGCUUGUGCAAAUGUUGGAUGGGUUGAUAAAGGCCUACAAUAUUUCCACUCAAUAAAAGACAUACAAGGAUUAAUCCA